rnacentral:rRNA from 1 species
GACGAACGCUGGCGGCGUGCUUAACACAUGCAAGUCGAACGGGUCUGCCCUGUUUUUUGCGGGGUGGGUCAGUGGCGAACGGGUGAGUAACACGUGAGUAACCUGCCCCUCACUUCUGGAUAACCGCUUGAAAGGGUGGCUAAUACGGGGUGUUCUGGCUGUGCCGCAUGGUGUGGCUGGGAAAGAUUCACUUUUGUGGUGUUUUGGUGGGGGAUGGGCUCGCGGCCUAUCAGCUUGUUGGUGGGGUGAUGGCCUGCCAAGGCUUUGACGGGUAGCCGGCCUGCGAGGGUGGGCGGUCACACUGGGACUGAGAUACGGCCCAGACUCCUGCGGGAGGCAGCAGUGGGGGGUAUUGCACAAUGGGCGGAAGCCUGAUGCAGCGACGUCGCGUGAGGGAUGGAGGCCUUCGGGUUGUGAACCUCUUUCGCCGGUGAAGAAGGUCCUGCUCUUUGUGGUGGGGUUGACGGUAGCCGGGUUAUGAAGCGCCGGCUAACUACGUG